GUCGAGCGAAAUGACGAGGAGCUUGCUCCUCUGAUUUAGCGGCGGACGGGUGAGUAACACGUGGGUAACCUGCCUGUAAGACGGGGAUAACUUCGGGAAACCGAAGCUAAUACCGGAUAAUAAAGAGAAACUCCUGUUUCUUUUUUGAAAGUCGGUUUCGGCUGACGCUUACAGAUGGGCCCGCGGCGCAUUAGCUAGUUGGUGAGGUAACGGCUCACCAAGGCCACGAUGCGUAGCCGACCUGAGAGGGUGAUCGGCCACACUGGGACUGAGACACGGCCCAGACUCCUACGGGAGGCAGCAGUAGGGAAUCUUCGGCAAUGGACGAAAGUCUGACCGAGCAACGCCGCGUGAGCGAUGAAGGCCUUCGGGUCGUAAAGCUCUGUUGUCAGAGAAGAACAAGUACCGGAGUAACUGCCGGUACCUUGACGGUACCUGACCAGAAAGCCACGGCUAACUACGUGCCAGCAGCCGCGGUAAUACGUAGGUGGCAAGCGUUAUCCGGAAUUAUUGGGCGUAAAGCGCGCGCAGGCGGUUCCUUAAGUCUGAUGUGAAAGCCCACGGCUCAACCGUGGAGGGUCAUUGGAAACUGGGGAACUUGAGUGCAGGAGAGAAAAGUGGAAUUCCACGUGUAGCGGUGAAAUGCGUAGAGAUGUGGA
rnacentral:rRNA from 1 species